UUAAGCGACUAAGCGUACACGGUGGAUGCCCUGGCAGUCAGAGGCGAUGAAGGACGUGCUAAUCUGCGAUAAGCGUCGGUGAGGUGAUAUGAACCGUUAUAACCGGCGAUUUCCGAAUGGGGAAACCCAGUGUGUUUCGACACACUAUCAUUAACUGAAUCCAUAGGUUAAUGAGGCGAACCGGGGGAACUGAAACAUCUAAGUACCCCGAGGAAAAGAAAUCAACCGAGAUUCCCCCAGUAGCGGCGAGCGAACGGGGAGGAGCCCAGAGCCUGAAUCAGUGUGUGUGUUAGUGGAAGCGUCUGGAAAGGCGCGCGAUACAGGGUGACAGCCCCGUACACAAAAAUGCACAUAUUGUGAGCUCGAUGAGUAGGGCGGGACACGUGGUAUCCUGUCUGAAUAUGGGGGGACCAUCCUCCAAGGCUAAAUACUCCUGACUGACCGAUAGUGAACCAGUACCGUGAGGGAAAGGCGAAAAGAACCCCGGCGAGGGGAGUGAAAAAAGAACCUGAAACCGUGUACGUACAAGCAGUGGGAGCCUCUUAAUGGGGUGACUGCGUACCUUUUGUAUAAUGGGUCAGCGACUUAUAUUCUGUAGCAAGGUUAACCGAAUAGGGGAGCCGAAGGGAAACCGAGUCUUAACUGGGCGUUAAGUUGCAGGGUAUAGACCCGAAACCCGGUGAUCUAGCCAUGGGCAGGUUGAAGGUUGGGUAACACUAACUGGAGGACCGAACCGACUAAUGUUGAAAAAUUAGCGGAUGACUUGUGGCUGGGGGUGAAAGGCCAAUCAAACCGGGAGAUAGCUGGUUCUCCCCGAAAGCUAUUUAGGUAGCGCCUCGUGAAUUCAUCUCCGGGGGUAGAGCACUGUUUCGGCAAGGGGGUCAUCCCGACUUACCAACCCGAUGCAAACUGCGAAUACCGGAGAAUGUUAUCACGGGAGACACACGGCGGGUGCUAACGUCCGUCGUGAAGAGGGAAACAACCCAGACCGCCAGCUAAGGUCCCAAAGUCAUGGUUAAGUGGGAAACGAUGUGGGAAGGCCCAGACAGCCAGGAUGUUGGCUUAGAAGCAGCCAUCAUUUAAAGAAAGCGUAAUAGCUCACUGGUCGAGUCGGCCUGCGCGGAAGAUGUAACGGGGCUAAACCAUGCACCGAAGCUGCGGCAGCGACACUAUGUGUUGUUGGGUAGGGGAGCGUUCUGUAAGCCUGUGAAGGUGUACUGUGAGGUAUGCUGGAGGUAUCAGAAGUGCGAAUGCUGACAUAAGUAACGAUAAAGCGGGUGAAAAGCCCGCUCGCCGGAAGACCAAGGGUUCCUGUCCAACGUUAAUCGGGGCAGGGUGAGUCGACCCCUAAGGCGAGGCCGAAAGGCGUAGUCGAUGGGAAACAGGUUAAUAUUCCUGUACUUGGUGUUACUGCGAAGGGGGGACGGAGAAGGCUAUGUUGGCCGGGCGACGGUUGUCCCGGUUUAAGCGUGUAGGCUGGUUUUCCAGGCAAAUCCGGAAAAUCAAGGCUGAGGCGUGAUGACGAGGCACUACGGUGCUGAAGCGACAAAUGCCCUGCUUCCAGGAAAAGCCUCUAAGCAUCAGGUAACAUCAAAUCGUACCCCAAACCGACACAGGUGGUCAGGUAGAGAAUACCAAGGCGCUUGAGAGAACUCGGGUGAAGGAACUAGGCAAAAUGGUGCCGUAACUUCGGGAGAAGGCACGCUGAUAUGUAGGUGAAGCGACUUGCUCGUGGAGCUGAAAUCAGUCGAAGAUACCAGCUGGCUGCAACUGUUUAUUAAAAACACAGCACUGUGCAAACACGAAAGUGGACGUAUACGGUGUGACGCCUGCCCGGUGCCGGAAGGUUAAUUGAUGGGGUUAGCGGUAACGCGAAGCUCUUGAUCGAAGCCCGGUAAACGGCGGCCGUAACUAUAACGGUCCUAAGGUAGCGAAAUUCCUUGUCGGGUAAGUUCCGACCUGCACGAAUGGCGUAAUGAUGGCGGGCUGUCUCCACCCGAGACUCAGUGAAAUUGAACUCGCUGUGAAGAUGCAGUGUACCCGCGGCAAGACGGAAAGACCCCGUGAACCUUUACUAUAGCUUGACACUGAACAUUGAGCCUUGAUGUGUAGGAUAGGUGGGAGGCUUUGAAGUGUGGACGCCAGUCUGCAUGGAGCCGACCUUGAAAUACCACCCUUUAAUGUUUGAUGUUCUAACGUGGGCCCCUUACCGGGGUUGCGGACAGUGUCUGGUGGGUAGUUUGACUGGGGCGGUCUCCUCCUAAAGAGUAACGGAGGAGCACGAAGGUUGGCUAAUCCUGGUCGGACAUCAGGAGGUUAGUGCAAUGGCAUAAGCCAGCUUGACUGCGAGCGUGACGGCGCGAGCAGGUGCGAAAGCAGGUCAUAGUGAUCCGGUGGUUCUGAAUGGAAGGGCCAUCGCUCAACGGAUAAAAGGUACUCCGGGGAUAACAGGCUGAUACCGCCCAAGAGUUCAUAUCGACGGCGGUGUUUGGCACCUCGAUGUCGGCUCAUCACAUCCUGGGGCUGAAGUAGGUCCCAAGGGUAUGGCUGUUCGCCAUUUAAAGUGGUACGCGAGCUGGGUUUAGAACGUCGUGAGACAGUUCGGUCCCUAUCUGCCGUGGGCGCUGGAGAACUGAGGGGGGCUGCUCCUAGUACGAGAGGACCGGAGUGGACGCAUCACUGGUGUUCGGGUUGUCAUGCCAAUGGCACUGCCCGGUAGCUAAAUGCGGAAGAGAUAAGUGCUGAAAGCAUCUAAGCACGAAACUUGCCCCGAGAUGAGUUCUCCCUGACUCCUUGAGAGUCCUGAAGGAACGUUGAAGACGACGACGUUGAUAGGCCGGGUGUGUAAGCGCAGCGAUGCGUUGAGCUAACCGGUACUAAUGAACCGUGAGGCUUAACCU
rnacentral:rRNA from 1 species